UCAAAAGUCGAAAUGGCGCCCAUGCUUGCAUGAGGCGCCAUUUUUGACUUUGGAUUUCGCCCCUGUAUGAGCAUGUAGGACGAUAGUCCGGAAUGCGAAUACAGGGGAGGAUUGCGAGAGUGCGAAGCACGAAGCAAUCCGUAGG
rnacentral:sRNA from 1 species